AUUGAACGCUGGCGGCAGGCCUAACACAUGCAAGUCGAACGAGUGGCGGACGGGUGAGUAAUGUCUGGGAAACUGCCUGAUGGAGGGGGAUAACUACUGGAAACGGUAGCUAAUACCGCAUACCAUCAGAUGUGCCCAGAUGGGAUUAGCUAGUUGGUGGGGUAACGGCUCACAAAGGCGACGAUCCCUAGCUGGUCUGAGAGGAGGACGGGCCAAACUGGAACGGGGAAACGGUCAAGACUCCAAGGGGAGGAAGAAGUGGGGAAUAUUGCAAAAUGGGCGAACGCCGAAUGCAGCCAUGCCGCGUGUAUGAAGAAGGCCUUCGGGUUGAAAAGUAUUUUCAGCGGGGAGGCGUUACCCGCAGAAGAAGCACCGGCUAACUCCGUGCCAGCAGCCGCGGUAAUUC
rnacentral:rRNA from 1 species